ACGGCCAUACCACAUUGAAAACAUCGGUUCUUGUCCGAUCACCGAAGGUAAGCAAUGUUGGGCCCGGUCAGUACUUGGGAGGGUGACCACAUGGGAACACCAGGUGCUGUAGGCU
rnacentral:rRNA from 1 species